rnacentral:rRNA from 1 species
ACACAUGCAAGUCGAACGGCAGCAUGAUCUAGCUUGCUAGAUUGAUGGCGAGUGGCGAACGGGUGAGUAAUACAUCGGAACGUGCCCUGUAGUGGGGGAUAACUAGUCGAAAGAUUAGCUAAUACCGCAUACGACCUGAGGGUGAAAGUGGGGGACCGCAAGGCCUCAUGCUAUAGGAGCGGCCGAUGUCUGAUUAGCUAGUUGGUGAGGUAAAGGCUCACCAAGGCGACGAUCAGUAGCUGGUCUGAGAGGACGAUCAGCCACACUGGGACUGAGACACGGCCCAGACUCCUACGGGAGGCAGCAGUGGGGAAUUUUGGACAAUGGGCGAAAGCCUGAUCCAGCAAUGCCGCGUGUGUGAAGAAGGCCUUCGGGUUGUAAAGCACUUUUGUCCGGAAAGAAAUGGCUCUGGUUAAUACCUGGGGUCGAUGACGGUACCGGAAGAAUAAGGACCGGCUAACUACGUGCCAGCAGCCGCGGUAAUACGUAGGGUCCAAGCGUUAAUCGGAAUUACUGGGCGUAAAGCGUGCGCAGGCGGUUGUGCAAGACCGAUGUGAAAUCCCCGAGCUUAACUUGGGAAUUGCAUUGGUGACUGCACGGCUAGAGUGUGUCAGAGGGGGGUAGAAUUCCACGUGUAGCAGUGAAAUGCGUAGAGAUGUGGAGGAAUACCGAUGGCGAA